rnacentral:rRNA from 1 species
UCCGUAGGUGGAUCAAUCAGUCAGAGGUGAAAUCCUGCAGCUUAACUGUAGAACUGCCUUUGAUACUGUUGAUCUUGAGUCAUUAUGAAGUGGUUAGAAUGUGUAGUGUAGCGGUGAAAUGCAUAGAUAUUACACAGAAUACCGAUUGCGAAGGCAGAUCACUAAUAAUGUACUGACACUGAGGGACGAAAGCGUGGGGAGCGAACAGGAUUAGAUACCCCUGGUAGUCC